rnacentral:rRNA from 1 species
GGAUUAGAUACCCUGGUAGUCCACGCCGUAAACGAUGGAUACUAGCUGUGGGGACUUCGGUCUCCGUGGCCAAGCGAAAGUGAUAAGUAUCCCACCUGGGGAGUACGUUCGCAAGAAUGAAACUCAAAGGAAUUGACGGGGGCCCGCACAAGCGGUGGAGCAUGUGGUUUAAUUCGAUGAUACGCGAGGAACCUUACCAGGGCUUAAAUGCAGGCUGCAUGGGGUAGAGAUACCCCUUUCUUCGGACCGCCUGCAAGGUGCUGCAUGGUUGUCGUCAGCUCGUGCCG